AUGCAGACCCCCUCAGAUCACCCUGUCCCUCUUCUGAUUGAAGAUUUGCCUCAGUAUCACUUGGGGGCCUACUCCAACAGUAAGAUAGAUGUCAGAGCCAAAUGUCAACUUGAAAUCUGGAUGGAAAUGGCUCCCUCCAAGCCUGAACUUCAGGGGAAGGCUCAGCAGUCACAGCCACCAGUGUUUCCUCUCAGCUACCAACGCUGCUCAGAGGGGGAAGUGCUGCUGCUGCCUGGAGGGGUGCAGCCCUGAAGGUUACGGAAGACGUGGGCAGAGAAUGUGGAAAAUCACCCAGAGAUUGCUGCUCACACUUCAUGUCUUCAGAGCAUCACCUCUCAUUUUAUAGCUGGAGAGAUGGGGCGCACAGCCAGGGAAAGCCAGGAACAGGUUCCGGCUUCCAUCACUCAGAUACUCAGGAAUCCCUGGUUCUCGAGGCUGGAAAGUCCGAGAUCAAGGUGCCUGCAUCUGGUGUCUAGUGCGGUCCCUAUUCCUGGUUUGCAGUUCCUCAUUGUUAUUGUCUCAGAUCACCAAAAAGGGGACAGGGAGAAGGAGUGGAAGCAAGGAAAAAUAAGGGAGAGAAAUUCACUGGACCCCAUUGUUUACAGUGUGGUCUUGGCUCCGGUGCGUCGAGGACCCAUCUAUAGCAGGAAUUCCCAAACCUGAACAUGGUGACUCCCACCAGAUUGAGUCACUCCUGGAUGUUCUGAUAGGAGCGUUUUGAGGAAUCCCCCACACAGCCCCACCUCACCUCCAAGAGGCUGGAGACCCCACAGGUGGGCACGGUGUUGGUGGCCAGCACAUUGGUGGCCGUGGCCGGUGGGUGAGCAAGGAGACUGGUUCAGUAAGUGGACCUCAUGCCUGGUGGGUGCCGCCCAUGGCACUGGGAACUUCCUUGCUCCUUUUGGUGCUGUUGGCACAGCCUUUCCAGAGCAGUGAAUGAAUGCCAGUCUCCUCCCACACCCCUCCAGGAACGCAGACCAACACAGCUGCUCUAUUAAAUGUGUGCACUUCUUAUUCUGAGUAUGUCUGAGUCUCUGAUGAGCUCUAUUUAUUGCAGCCCUCAGCCCUGUAAAGAGGAGGAUGGUUCCAAAGAGCCCUGAAUGCAGGCGGUUUUACAAAAUCAGCCUCUCACUUCUUUGUAUAUACUUUCUUGUCACAGGAACAGCCUUAAUUUUGAUGUUUAUUUUGAACUACGAAAUAUAAGAUGAAUGAGUGUAUGUAUGUGUGUGUAUGAGUGAGAGAGAGAAAGACAGAGAGAGAGAUUGGCUGGAUAGACUGAAAUGCUUAAGGCAGGGAUGGAAGAUGAAGACUGAGAAAAUGUGUGGCUGUGGUAGAAUCAGAAACUUUAAUAUGUGCUUUGAAACCAGACCUGAAAGUGAGGUCACAUCACUCUGCUCUUGUUCAGCCUUGCUCAGUGGCCUGAUGCAAGCCAAAAACCCACAGGAGGGGAACUCCACUCAGUCUCUCUCCUGAGAGAAACUCUGGAGGGGUAUCACAUUUUGAGAGCAAGGAGGAGGUUUGGAAUCAAGUGUACAGAAGCUCUGUUUGUCCUGGAGGCUCUUAAAGGCUCCAGGAGAACUUUUUGGGUGCUGCUUUAUAUUAAUAAAACCAGCAUGGCUGAAAGAAAACAUAUUCAAAAAGUAGAAUCUGGUGCCACUGCACAUCUUGUACGUCAGGAAGAAUCCCAUGUUCCUGGACCCCCACCCCUGGUGUAGCGGACUUGGAAGACUGGAGAAGACCAUGAAGCUACAUUUACAGGGUGUUAUAGAGCCAGAAGAUACUUUAAUAAUCUAGGCUAGGGCCCAGUGCUGUGGCUUCUGCCUGUAAUCCUAGCACUUUUAGGGGCCAAGGUGGGAGGGUUGCU